AUUGAACGCUGGCGGAAUGCUUUACACAUGCAAGUCGAACGGUAGAGGGGGCAACCCCUCGAGAGUGGCGAACGGGUGAGUAAUAUAUCGGAACGCGCCCAGUCGUGGGGGAUAACGUAGCGAAAGUUACGCUAGUACCGCAUACGAUCUAAGGAUGAAAGCGGGGGAUCGCAAGACCUCGCGCGAUUGGAGCGGCCGAUAUCAGAUUAGGUAGUUGGUGGGGUAAAGGCUCACCAAGCCAACGAUCUGUAGCUGGUCUGAGAGGACGACCAGCCACACUGGAACUGAGACACGGUCCAGACUCCUACGGGAGGCAGCAGUGGGGAAUUUUGGACAAUGGACGCAAGUCUGAUCCAGCCAUUCCGCGUGCAGGAUGAAGGCCCUCGGGUUGUAAACUGCUUUUGUACGGAACGAAAAGGUCUCUCUUAAUACGGGGGGCUCAUGACGGUACCGUAAGAAUAAGCACCGGCUAACUACGUGCCAGCCGCCGCGGUAA
rnacentral:rRNA from 1 species